CAUGCACAGAAGCUAAAAUAUUCAGCAGGAAAAUCCUUCAAAUGGCUUUAGCAGAUUCAAUGUUAGAAGUUUUACAUGUUAAUACUUUUCUGUGACACAGUACGACUUCUUUGGAUGUUUCUCAUAUAACCAGAGGCUAUUAAACCCUUUGAGAAAUGUUUGCAUGUGUUCAUUCUUUUAGUCAAGAACAAAAGAAGUAUCUUAAUCUCUGACAUUUAUAAGGCAGUAUUAUUACAGUUACAACCAAUUUUCAACUCAUUACUUUCCAGGAAAUUAUAGGACUUUUCAAUCAUCUGUUUCAUCAGCUGUGGAAGCUAUGGUACAAGGGGAAUGAAGUCUGUAUGCAUUUCCUUCCUCACGACCAAAAGUUGGUGGGUAAGAAAAAUGUCAGAAGUAAGUAAGAGUUACUACGGGAUUCUUCAGAUUAAGCUAUCUAUGUAGAUGAGACAAUGCUCUUUUAUAUUAAAGAGUAAAAGAAUGUGUAUGUGUGUGACUUAAGGAAGAAAUUUCACGACAGGAGAAGAAUAACUGCUUUUGUUCUGAUGCCAACCACAUCUGGUGACCUCGUGACUAUGGGAGAGCCCAGGUCUUAUGACCACCAUAUCAAGCUCUUGAGGUCUUGCCAAGGAGAAGGAAGAGAAUUUUAAAUGAACAACUAUAUAGAUCCUCAAAUCACAUCUUCACAGGAACUGAGACUACCUACUGAUAUUAAUGCACAGAUAAAACAAUGCCAUUAAAAUAAAAUGAAGUAAUGAAAGUCAUCUUUUCUAUUUAAUGUGAAGAAUAACAGUGUCCUGGUAAUAAAACUCCUUCCCAAUUUGAACAUAAUACUGACAAUGAAAUGGUAAUGGCAUACCUAGGAGAUACUGUGAGUUCAGUUCCUGACUACUACAGUUAAGUGAAUUAUGCAAUAAAGUGAGUCAAAUGAGUUUUUUGGGCUCCCAUUGCAUGUACA